rnacentral:lncRNA from 15 species
AUGCUCCUCAGACUUGUGCAAACACACCAAUGGACCCCAAUGGAGGCAUUAACCCUGCUCAGAGCCCUAUCACAGAACUACGUUGACGAUGUUUCAAUAACUGAAGUCCUUACGAUGGUACAAGUGCAUGAUUUAUCCCCACAGUGGAUGGAUGAGUCUGGUAGCUCUCUCACUUUGGCUCUGGACGCUGGCCCUGAAAGAUUCCAUCAAGAUUUCCAAAAGACUCUCAGAAAGACAGAUGAGAGUAAUCUAGUUGCGGCUCUAGAAGAAAUAAAAAUGUCAUGGGAUUUGGAUGAUUCAGUGAUUGAUAUGAUAAAAAACAUCACCACUGGUGUCCUGCAAUAUUCAGAGAAUGCACCAAAAGACGCCCCAUUAAUGAAAGAUUCAUUUGAAUGUGUAACAUUAGAUGCAGACCACAUACAGAAGUCUCUGUGCCAGCUCUGUAAAGCAGUGUUUGACACAAAAGGCUGGUGGCCCACAAUGAGGCAGAUGCUGCGGUGGUGUGCGUUGGUGCUGACUCAGAAGAGUGGAGCUCUACAGCUGGUUGGUGUGGAAGAAGACCCGUGUGUCACAGCCAUGUAUGCAGCCACACGAGUCUGCACAGGAAACAAAGUGGACAUCGUGCUGAGCUCUGACGUUCACUCAGAGGAGCAAACUGAAGACUGGUCUGACUUCUACAAGAACCUUGGAAUUUCUCUCAACACAAACAUGAAGAAAAGGAAUGAAUCACACAGGGAUGUCUAUGAAGCGGACAUUGUGUACGGUACCAUCAAUGACUUUGUCUCUGAUUACUUUCAAUACGGCGCAGAGGUGAUGGAGGCAGGGAACCCGCUGCUCAGUCGUGGAUUUAUCAUUGAAGAACAAAGUCUCAGUUGUUCCUACAAUCUGGAACCUUCAAAGCUCAAGGAGAAUGAUUCCCUGGUGUUUGCUGCAGAGGUCCUGCAAAACCUCAUGGGUAGAUUUCACAGUGAAGAUAUGGAAUUGAGACAGAAGUUUAUUAAAGCUCUUUUUCAGGUGCUGCACACCAACCUAAACAAAGACACAAACACUGACAAUAAAAUCAUCACCAUCUUAAAGAAAAUAUCUGGACAGGGAUUGCCUUCUAAUGAGGUCUUCAUUCUGACCUUCCUGGAGAAUCUCCUUAAAGUGGUCACUGAAGAAACAGAAGGUGAGAAAAACAGAACAUCUCCUGCAGGCAGAUGGUGUCUGGAGAUAUUAUUUGGCUGUGUGGAGAAUUUCCAAGCAUCAACAACUACAAAAGAACUCUUCCAGAUAGUUUUGAAUCUUGAAGCACAAGGACUUUGCUCACCAGUAGAGGCCUUAAACCUCCUUGGAGCAUUAACUGACCACCAUCAUGAUAAAGACUGUAUCUCCAUCAUGAAGAUUUUACAUUUAAUGCAAACAUAUCAGGUUUCUACCAAGUGGACAGAUGAGAACAAAAAAUCUCUCCUUGAGCUCUUGGAGUCUGAAAUUCUGAUCAAGCAUUUAGAAGGGAGCCUUAGUCAUAAGAAAGAAAAAAGCAUUGAGACUCUUGUUGAUGAAAUACGGCAGAUGAAAGACAUUGAUGAACAAACACUGAGUAAAUCAUACAGUGUAGUAACUCAUGUAACAAACCUGAUCAAAACCGGUGAAAUCAAAAAGCACACAGAUGUACAGCGAGCUAGGAAUCUGAGUCACAGCACAGACACAGAAGACCUUCAGGAAGUCCUGGCAGUCUUAUGCAAUGCUGUACACCUGCAGAUGGCUGAAGGGAAGUGGUGGCCCAGGAACAAUCAAAUGAUAAGCUGGUGCCUCUUGGCCCUAUCCGACACUGGGAAGCUCCUGGAAAUGGGCACUGGAGAAGGAAAGUCUUGUGUCAUAGCAAUGUUUGCAGUGUUGCGUGUGCUUAGGGGGGAAAAGGUAGACGUGGUGUCUAGCUCUUCUGUGUUGUGUCAAAGAGAUGCAAAAGAAUGGACGAACUUCUACAAGUACUUUAACAUAACAGUUGACACAAACACAAACAAAACCGACGACAAGGAUAGAAAAGAAUGCUACCAGAAGGACGUGGUCUAUGGAACUAUCGAGGCCUUCUCUGCAGAUCAUCUUCGCCAGAUAUUUGAGAUGAAGGAUGUGAGGCCUGAUCGCAGCUAUCAGUGCAUCAUAAUCGAUGAAGUGGAUUCAUUGCUGCUGGAUCAGGGAGUGCAGCUGACCUACCUGUCCAGCCCCAUGGUCUCAAUGCAGCACCUCAACGUUAUUCUGGCCAUGAUCUGGGGUCACGUCAGGCAGUAUGGCUUCCUGUCCACAGGACAGCAGACAUUUGUACAGGGUCCUCCUGCUUCAUUCUUCAAGGCCAUUUUUGACUCAAUAGACACAGAAGAAACUGAAAUUAAUGAUCCAAUUGACAUUUUAAGCAUCGCUGAAGAAUGCAACACGGUGCCAAAAGGAUUUACAAAGGACCCAUGCCAAAGUGAAAAGGAUGAACUUCACUUAACUAAAACUGUGAGUCAGGAUGCUGUGGUGGAUUUUUUCCAAGACAUUGAGCAGUAUGUCCCCUAUGGUUUUACUGUUUACACUCUAGAUGACAAGGGAUUACUCCGUCUUAGAAAACACAGUCCAUACAACAACGAGGACAUUCCAGACCUCACAUUUCUUGUCCUGGAGGAAGGCCUGUGCUGUCCUCUCUAUGAUUCAGAAGAAACUCUCAUCAAGCCCAUUGCAGAAUUAAUCUCAGGGAGGCUUCAGUACACCCCCUGUGCAAACAAUAAAGACAAAAUAAGCAUUCCUGGAUUCUUGAAGAAUCUGGUGGAGAAGAAAGUGUCAGUGUGGGUUCAGAAUGCCUUUCUGGCAAUGCAACUGAAGGAGGGACGAGAAUAUGUUGUAGAAAACGACAAUGUCUGUCCUGUGGAUUUCAGAUCCACUGGCAUUGUGGAGCUGAAUAAGAAAUGGGGUGAUGGGUUGCAGCAGUUUGUUGAGAUUAAACAUCAAGUCAAACUGAGCACAAUUUCAAUUGUGACAAACUACAUUUCUAACAUCUCCUUUUUUGAGAAGUACAAUGAGAAGAUAUACGGAACAACUGGGACACUUGGCAGCAAAACAGACAUUCUGUUUUUACAGACGCUAUAUCCAAAUCUCUCUGCCUGGAAAAUGCCAACAUUCAACAGGAAGAAGUUGUUUGAGGUCAAAGGUACACUGAAGACCUCAGCUGAAGAGUGGAAAUCUGAAAUAAAACGGGUAGUCAAGGCUCAGAUUUCCCCAAAUCCAUACAGAGAUGGAAGAGCAGCCCUGGUGAUCUGUGAGACUAUCAACAAAGCCAAAGAGAUCUAUGAAGAGCUGAAAAGCAGCAUCCCAGGUGAAAUCAUUCUCUACUGCCGCAGUGACAAUGACAGUCUGAGCAAAAUAGACAAGGAACUGCGUCCUGGUGAUGUCAUUGUUGCCACAAACCUUGCCGGGCGUGGCACAGACAUAAAAGUGUCAGAUCAGGUGAACAACAAUGGAGGAUUAUUUGUGAUCCUCUCCUUCCUUUCUGAGAACACAAGAGUGGAACUUCAGGCUUUUGGUCGAACUGCACGUAAAGGUAAACCUGGAUCUGCUCAAAUAAUCUUCUCGACUGAACACCUGGAGCAGUCCUUCAGGACAGUGUCUUCUCUGGAGGAAGCUAAGAGCACAAGGGAUAGACUUGCAGCAGAAAAGACAAAUCACAUGAUGAAUGAUGUAACUGAGUUGAGACUUCGGGAGGACCUGUUCUCAGAGUACUGCAAAACUCUUCAAGAUAUUCACGAGAACACAGAUGGAGAUGAGAGAAGAGCGGUUGUUGCCAUCAUGAAUGACUUCUGGGGGAUGUGGUUGCAAAUUAAGUCAGCGGAAAUUGACCAGUUGAAGAGAGAUAAAUUGCAGAAGAGUUUGAAAGAUGAUUUGUCAUGGGCAAAAAGUCAAUCUCAGAAUCAGACUUCACCGUGUUCCAGCAUUUAUCACUACAUCAAGUUUGGAAAUAUCGCACUGUGUGAAAAACAGUGGGACAUCAGCAGAAGGCUCUUUGAAAAAGCCAUGAAACAAGAUGGAAGUUGGGCAGCUAUAGCUUUCUACAAUCAUGCAUACUGCACCAUAAAGCAGAGGAAUGGAGAUUACCUCACUCAGGCCAGAGAUGAUCUAACAAAGGCACAGGAGUCUCUGAAGUAUCUCAGUGAGGAAUCCAUGAUCUGUCUGCAGCUUGUAAAAAUGUCCUCUGCAGACUCAGCCAACAGUAACCCUACCAGCCUAGACAAACAGUUCACAACCAAGUGCACAAUGUUAGGUUACAUUGACAAAAACAUUAGUGAGGCCAUCCAAAAGCUGGAUGAAAUAAAAGAAAAAGACAGGGAUGCAGUGGCCGUUGAAUCAUCAAUUUUCUCUCUGGUGUCGAGUGCUGAUGAAGAUCUCCAAGUGGAAGCCUGCAACCUGUACAGUGGAGGACUGGAAUAUGUAUUUUCUGUGGAAGUGAAGCCUCGUUUCUCAUGGGGAGGUCUGCUGGUGUUCUGUCUUGGAGUUUUACAGAUUAUUGGAGGAACAUUGCUCACUGCUUUUACAUUUGGUACCUUUGCUCAAGUCGGCAUGGGACUCAUCAGUGAAGGAAUAUCAGACUGUAUCAGUGGCAUAGAGGCCAUGGUGACAGGAGAAUUCAGCUGGAAAUCAUGGGCUACACAAAAAGCAACUUCUAUUGGUGUGUCUCUCAUUGCGUCUGGAGUUGGAAAGCUGAUUGCAAAGGGCUUCAAAGCUUGUAAAAGGUCAGUUAUGGCAUUUGGUAAACAGCUGAAGUUGAUGCCAAAGUUUCUCUCCAACCAGGUUAAAGGCGGUUUAAGUGUUGUUGCAAAGACAAAUAUGAAGAAUGCAUUUAAACUCACUGCAAAAAAAAUAGUUGAGGAAGUCGUUAUGUAUGGAGUUGGGAAGGUAGAAAAUAAAAUACUGACUGACAUACUAAACAGCAUCAAAAAUGGGGUGCAAGAGAGAAUGGUUCAGGAAGUGGAAUCCAACAUGAAAAAAGAGUCCCUGAUUACAUUAGUAGACCUCAUUAUCCUCUCACACCUUGAGGAUAAAAAGCAACUUCAUGAUCUCCUAGAGGACAAGAACAGAAAGAAUGAACUGCUGAACAUUUUCAGAAAGUUAAGUAACGCUGCAAUACAGCCUUUCUAUGCAAACCUGAGCUGGCAGAACAAGCUGAACUCAUCCUUCUCCACAGUGUUGGACAGUGCUAAAGCCAACGCUGGGGGAACAACACAUGAAAUUCUAACAUUGAUCCAAAUGUACCACAUGGAGGCACUGGCAUUAGACGCGAUCAGUGCAGCUCUGAGCCUCUCAAGCAAGUUUUUUUCCAACCUUCAUGAACAACUGAAUGAAUUUCAAAGAGGAAAAGGUUUUUCAGAGAAAGUGAAGAUAAAUGAGCUCUCUGCUUCAGACAAAGAGCUACUGAAAGAAUCCAAACAGGAUUUAGCCGACAUCAUCAGUGCUUUAUUGGCUGAUGCACUGGUAGAAGUGUUCCACCAGAAGUUCUCCAGUCACAUUGUUUCUCGUGUUCAAAGCCAAAUAAAUGGCUUCAUUCGCAAUGAUGUAAGAUCUGGCUUAAAUAGUGACAGAACAGAAGAAAAACUCAGAGCUGGACAGAACAACAGAUACAUCGCAUACAUGCCAAAAGCUAAACAUAACCUUGAAAGACAGACAGGUGAACACUCACAGUCACAUGCUGAAAAGAUCAAGGACCCAAAGACUGCUGGUACCAUCCUUGAUAUCAGAGUCCUGUCAGAAACCACCGGCACCAAGGUUGUCAUCCUAACAGAGGAUAGCCAUGGUACACUUACCAAAAUGCAGGAGCUGAGCCCUGGCACUGAACCCGCCAGUCAAACUGUGACACUGAUCUACAGACCAAAGAGUGACCAAAAACCAGAAGGCCAUUAUGAUGUGCAGAUCAAUAACCAGACAGUGAGCAUAGAAAAUAGCGACAAGGGAUGCCUGUUUCACGCUUUGGCACGAGGCAUGAAACCAGAGGCCAGUAAAGUUGAGAUUGCUAUGGAAGUAAACCGUUUCCGAUCUGUGGUGGCCGACACUCUCCUCAGUGAACCAGGCCGAUGGGAACCUUUUGUCAAACGCAAAGUCUGGACGGAAGAAAUCAGAGGAGGGGACUGGUACAUGGGACAGGGAGCAGCAAGAAAAGAGAAGAUAAAAGAAUCCAUAAAGGCACUCGAGGAAGAGGUUGGAAAAAUAGGAUUAUACAAAGACUUGAUAAAAUAUAGAAAUCAAAAUCCAGGACUUGGACAAUUCAUCCAUGCAGAUCACCAGCCACCAGUGCAGAGUAUAUUGGAUGCUUUAGAUCUGAACAAGGACAGCGUACUAGCAAAAGUCAUGAUUGAAGUGGGAACUAACUCAUCUAAUCCGGAUAACAACUUGAUUCAGAAAGUGAAAGACAAUCAUGGCCGUGAACUUCCAGCUGUUAAUGUGCCUAAAGAAAUACAUCUUGACUUUCUCAGUACAAAAUCAGAAGUUUUUAGAAGACACUUAGCUCAAACCAUAAGCAAUAAUGAUGCUGUGGGCGCCUUAAAAGAGACUAUCCUUGGCUCAAUGCCCAGAUUCAGGUUGGAUAGCAGGAAGAACUUAAAUGACUUUCAGAACAAGAACAGUAAAACCAGGCUUGAGAUUUUUGAAAAAAGUUUUCAGCAACACAGUACAGAGAUGGUUAAUCUCUGGUACAACAAGCUUCAGCCCAAGGGCGCCAUGACAGAGAAACAUCUUGCCAACAUAACUGACUGGAUCAAAAACAAGGGCUACAAUGAUCAAAAUGAUCCACACAGGAACCAAGUCUCCAAAUUCCUUUAA